AAUGUGGUUUUGGCAUCAAAGUCGGCUUGUCAUAGGUCAUAACGUAGCUAUCACAGCCAGCUUUGAUGAGCAUGACCUCAUU
rnacentral:pre_miRNA from 1 species